rnacentral:rRNA from 1 species
GACGUAGGGGGCCAGCGUUGUUCGGAAUUACUGGGCGUAAAGGGUUCGUAGGCGGUGUGGCAAGUCGGGAGUGAAAUCUAUGGGCUUAACUCAUAGGCUGCUUCCGAAACUGCUGUGCUUGAGUGUGGGAGAGGCGCGUGGAAUUGCAGGUGUAGCGGUGAAAUGCGUAGAUAUCUGCAGGAACACCCGUGGCGAAAGCGG